AGUGAACGCUGGCGGUAGGCCUAACACAUGCAAGUCGAACGGCAGCACAGUAAGAGCUUGCUCUUACGGGUGGCGAGUGGCGGACGGGUGAGGAAUACAUCGGAAUCUACUUUUUCGUGGGGGAUAACGUAGGGAAACUUACGCUAAUACCGCAUACGACCUACGGGUGAAAGCAGGGGAUCUUCGGACCUUGCGCGAUUGAAUGAGCCGAUGUCGGAUUAGCUAGUUGGGGGGGUAAAGGCCCACCAAGGCGACGAUCCGUAGCUGGUCUGAGAGGAUGAUCGGCCACACUGGAACUGAGACACGGUCCAGACUCCUACGGGAGGCAGCAGUGGGGAAUAUUGGACAAUGGGCGCAAGCCUGAUCCAGCCAUACCGCGUGGGUGAAGAAGGCCUUCGGGUUGUAAAGCCCUUUUGUUGGGAAAGAAAAGCAGCAGGUUAAUACCCCGCUGUUCUGACGGUACCCAAAGAAUAAGCACCGGCUAACUUCGUG
rnacentral:rRNA from 1 species